CCGACUUGAGUGAGAACCUAGCACCCAAAUAAGCCUUCAAUUCAGGAACAGACUCAAUGGCCUUGAGCAAUGCUGCAUCCACGGCUUUCUGGUCAUCCUUCUUCUCCUGGGGAAUCACAUUCUUCUCCUACAGAAAAACAAAUAGAAAAGAUCAAAAUACAGAACACCGAAAGGCCUUGAACAAUGCUGCAUCCACGGCUUUCUGGCAUCAUUCAUGUUCAAGCACGUUUAUAAAUAAUAGUAUUGAAUUACUGACAUUGAAUCUAUCAUAGACGUGAAAUAUGCUAACUUUCAUUCUAUGUUCUCAUUACAUGAAUGAACACAACUUCUUACCUACAAAUAUACUCACUAAACAUGUUUCUGCAUACCAACUAUAUACUCACAAGUGAGGUCUGCGGAGGGGAAAGUGAUUGCAGACCUUACACCUAUCCCGUGAAGUGGAAAGUGAUAACAGACGUUACACAACUACACCGUGGAGGUAGAGAGCUGUAUUCGAAAGACCCUCAGCUCAAGUGCAACAAAUCAAAGUGAUUCUUCCCUGACACCAAAUCAAUCUACUCAUGUAUAAGCGGAAAGUGAUAGCAGACAUUACACAACUACACCGUGGAGGUAGAGAGCUGUAUUUGAAAGACCCUAAGCUCAAGUGCAACAAAUCAAAGUAAUUCUUCCACGACACCAAAUCAACCUAAUCAUGUAUAAGCGGAAAGUGAUGGCAUACAUUACACAACUACAGCAUGGAGGUAGAGAGGCUGUAUUCGAAAGACCCUCAGCUCAGGUGCAACAAAUCAAAGUAAUCCUUCCCCGACGCCAAAUCAAUCUAAUCAUGUACGACCAAGUUCCAGUAACAAGAGUCAUUGUUACAGAUGCACAAGACACAAUCUGCAUGGUGUAGUUGUAUACAAAAUUUGACAUAUUUGCUAAUUUUCACACUCAUCUUUCUCAUCUCAUAAAUGAGACAUAACCUCUCAACCAUGAAUCCUAAGCUCAGCAAUCAGCAUUAACAGUUCACAACAUUGACCCAAAACAACAAAUCUACUAGCCAAAUCCUACAACUGCCCAAUCAUACAAUAAACAAAAAAGAUCUAAUCCCGUAACCGCAGUUUAAAGAAAAGAUCCAUCCACUAAGCAAGUGUUCAACAACAAAACGAAUAACAAGUCCAAUCAUUAACAGAAAAUGAUCUAAAAAAGAUCAAAGCAUUCACCAACAUCAAGGAUCCACUACAUAAUCACACAAUAAACAAAAAGAUCCAUCCAUUAAGCAAAAAAAAAUCCAACCUUAAACUACAAAAUGAAGAUAAAAUGAGCAAAAAAAUGUAAAGCGAACCUCUUUUUUCUCUUCAAAAAACUCUCCUUCACCCUUCUUCACCUUCUUCUCAACCUCCUUAGCAAAAUACUUAUCAUCAAUCUUGUCAACAUUAACUCCACUAACAUCAACCUUAGUCGACGUAGCAAUCACAUAGGCUUGAUUAACUCUCCUCAAUGGAACCCCAUUAACCUUAAACGGGCCACUAACC
rnacentral:lncRNA from 1 species